rnacentral:rRNA from 1 species
GCCCGCUCAGAAACUACAAGGAAGUGACGGGGCCCGCGACAGCGGUGGAGUAUGUGGUUUAAUUCGAUGCAACGCGAAGAACCUUACCUGGUCUUGACAUCCCGGAGACCCUUAGGAAACUAGGGGGUGCUUCCAUCUGGAAGAAUCUGGAGACAGGUGCUGCAUGGCUGUCGUCAGCUCGUGUCGUGAGAUGUUGGGUUAAGUCCCGCAACGAGCGCAACCCUUGCCUUUAGUUGCCAGCAGUUCGGCUGGGCACUCUAAAGGGACUGCCGGUGUUAAACCGGAGGAAGGUGGGGAUGACGUCAAGUCCUCAUGGCCUUUAUGACCAGGGCUACACACGUACUACAAUGGCCGAUACAAAGGGCAGCGACACUGCGAGGUGAAGCCAAUCCCGUAAAAUCGGUCUCAGUCCGGAUUGGAGUCUGCAACUCGACUCCAUGAAGUUGGAAUCGCUAGUAAUCGUGGAUCAGCAUGCCACGGUGAAUACGUUCCCGGGCCUU